rnacentral:rRNA from 1 species
UGGGGAAUAUUGCACAAUGGGGGGAACUCUGAUGCAGCGACGCCGCGUGAACGAAGAAGGCUUUCGAGUCGUAAAGUUCUUUUAUAUGGGAAGAUAAUGACGGUACCAUAAGAAAAACCCCCGCCUAACUACGUGCCAGCAGCCGCGGUAAUACGUAGGGGGCUAGCGUUGUCCGGAAUCACUGGGCGUAAAGGGUUCGCAGGCGGAAAUGCAAGUCAGGUGUAAAAGGCAGUAGCUUAACUACUGUAAGCAUUUGAAACUGCAUAUCUUGAGAAGAGUAGAGGUAAGUGGAAUUUUUAGUGUAGCGGUGAAAUGCGUAGAUAUUAAAAGAAUACCGGUGGCGAAGGCGACUUACUGGGCUCAUUCUGACGCUGAGGAACGAAAGCGUGGGUAGCAAACAGG